CCUUCUCGGAAUGUUUAUCUUCAUAUUCUAUUGUAUAUGCAAGAAAGAUGCCAGAGAUGUCAUUUGCUCGUGUUUAUGUAACCAAAAGAAAGGGGACGACAAUAUAAGUUGUGAAAACCAAUAAAAGUUCAAGUUCUGGUAAUGAAACAGACGUUGGAACAGCAGAGACGAGAACAUAAUUAAAAAUAAGAAAAACCAAUCUCUUUGAAUAUCUUCUUUUCUUCUUAUAUUACAUUAAACAUACUUGUGUACAAGUGAACUUCAUUUUUAUCUAUCAAUACAACACUAUGAAACUUAGACACUUUAUAAACCACAAUGUAAUUUAAACCUCCUCAUUUUUCUGUAACACACAAAAUCUAACAUCAUGUGAUUUGAUUUGUAAUUCUAUAAAUAUUUUCUAACUGCUAAUUUCACUUUUAAUUUUCAAUAUAAUCUUUAACUUUUAUUAAUGAAGAAAUAAAUGUGGUUUCUUACUACAA